rnacentral:rRNA from 1 species
AUUGAACGCUGGCGGCAUGCUUUACACAUGCAAGUCGAACGGCAGCGCGGGCUUCGGCCUGGCGGCGAGUGGCGAACGGGUGAGUAAUGCAUCGGAACGUGCCCAGUAGUGGGGGAUAGCCCGGCGAAAGCCGGAUUAAUACCGCAUACGACCUGAGGGUGAAAGCGGGGGACCGAAAGGCCUCGCGCUAUUGGAGCGGCCGAUGUCGGAUUAGCUAGUUGGUGGGGUAAAGGCUUACCAAGGCGACGAUCCGUAGCUGGUCUGAGAGAACGACCAGCCACACUGGGACUGAGACACGGCCCAGACUCCUACGGGAGGCAGCAGUGGGGAAUUUUGGACAAUGGGGGCAACCCUGAUCCAGCCAUGCCGCGUGCGGGAAGAAGGCCCUCGGGUUGUAAACCGCUUUUGUUCGGGAAGAAAUCCUCUGGGCUAAUACCCCGGGGGGAUGACGGUACCGGAAGAAUAAGCACCGGCUAACUACGU